rnacentral:tRNA from 1 species
UACGGGGUAGCCAAGCGGUAAGGCACAUGAUUUUGGUUCAUGGAUACGAGGGUUCGAAUCCUUCCCCCGCAGCCA